UUCAUUAAAAGAAAAAGGGGUGAAAAGAACAAAGUUUUGUCCAUCUUUGUUCAUCAUAGCCGAAAGUUAGAGAAGAGAAAGGAGAGGAGAAAGCUCUUGAAUGUUUGGUCACUUGGGGAAGAAAAUUGAAGGCGGUUCGUGUGUGGAUCUCGUCAGCAUAUCGUCACAAACAGGAAAUCCCCAACCAUAGUGGGCUUGGAGCUGUGAGGGAAUUCGAAAUGGCCACCCGUUUUGAAAGUUUGGUUUUCUUCUGGUGAACUGGACAUCCUAUUAUUUACGUUGAGGUUUGGGUUUUUAAAUGUAAUAAGGCCGCUUAAUUAUUUUUGAUGGUUUUAAUAUGUAUUACUAAUAUAGGUAUUACUUAUUUUAACUGUUGAAA